rnacentral:rRNA from 1 species
UAGGGAAUCUUCGGCAAUGGACGGAAGUCUGACCGAGCAACGCCGCGUGAGUGAAGAAGGUUUUCGGAUCGUAAAGCUCUGUUGUAAGAGAAGAACGAGUGUGAGAGUGGAAAGUUCACACUGUGACGGUAUCUUACCAGAAAGGGACGGCUAACUACGUGCCAGCAGCCGCGGUAAUACGGAAGGUCCGGGCGUUAUCCGGAUUUAUUGGGUUUAAAGGGAGCGUAGGCUGGAGAUUAAGUGUGUUGUGAAAUGUAGACGCUCAACGUCUGACUUGCAGCGCAUACUGGUUUCCUUGAGUACGCACAACGUUGGCGGAAUUCGUCGUGUAGCGGUGAAAUGCUUAGAUAUGACGAAGAACUCCGAUUGCGAAGGCAGCUGACGGGAGCGCAACUGACGCUGAAGCUCGAAGGUGCGGGUAUCGAACAGGAUUAGAUACCCUGGUAGUCCGCACAGUAAACGAUGGAUGCCCGCUGUUGGUACUUGGUAUCAGCGGCUAAGCGAAAGCAUUAAGCAUCCCACCUGGGGAGUACGCCGGCAACGGUG